GAUAUCUCAGUAGCGUGCUGAGCAGCACUUUUCUCGUCGUUGGUUUGGUAACCAAACCAGCGUAUUUUCUUCUUCCUAUAUCCUUUAACUUCAGUUUGUGUGCUACUACGGCGCCUUGGCGAUCUUUAUCUAGCUCUGCUCUUCGGAGACUUCCGGCACAAAAGCUAGCAACCCCCGCAGAAGUGCAGAUCAAUUCCUGCCUCAGAUGCCGAUGAGUGAGCUGAUUACGAUCUAGUAGAAUUGAUGGGAUGUUUCCUCUCCGGCCAGGGAAAGUAUUUAAAUUGUUGGCUGAAGAUAGUUGCUAAUAAAGCUAGAUGGCGCAUGGUGAAGGGUCUGUUCCUUCCAAUGAACUAUCAAUUUGUCAGUUAGCUGAGCGGCAUCUAUAUGAGCCUAAUACUAGUGAAGAGGUCAACCCAGUGAUCAGACAGCAGGUGCUCGCACAUGCGGAUUUGACGCGCCAUCCUCGUGGUUGGAAUGUGGGGUCUACCCUUAGUGACUAUUCUUUUCAUCCACUAGCACCUUAUCCUAAACCUGAUCAUGAAGCCUACACCCUAGGGACAAGGAUGGUAGCAAAAGGUCUAGGUUGGGAUGGUCACACAGCCGAGUAUGUUCCGCAACCCAAAGGCUAUGUUGAGUGGGGCAUCUCUAUAUUGAAUAACCACUCGUUUUGUUUGAAAGGAGAAGCGGAGAACACCGAUUACAUAUAUGGGGCCAUUUAUUGCUCCCUCGGUGAAUAUGAAGUUUCAGAUUCGUUACUGAGGUCACUACUGGAACGAUGGGAUCUAGAAACAAAUACUUUUCUUUUUUCAUCUGGUGAACGCACCGUGACUCUGCUUGACAUGCUUCUAAUGUCGGGUCUUCCUUCAGUUGGAGAUCCAUACGAGGAAUAUGUUCCCUCUAUAGAUGACCUAGAACCUUCAAAGCUUAUGUUCCCAAAUUUCUUAUCCGGCCUUUUAGAAGAAUUCUAUCAGCUCAGCCGCGAAAAUGGAAGUGUGACUUUUCAAGUCUGGUGUGACCAUUUCCAUAACAAACGCGAACGCACUUCAUCUUUCACCUCCUUUCGGGAACAACACAUGUACAUUGCGGCUUUUAUAGCCCACUGGCUUUGCUCUCACGUGGUUGUUGGUGGGGGGCCU